rnacentral:misc_RNA from 1 species
GAUGAAGAACGCAGCGAAAUGCGAUAAGUAAUGUGAAUUGCAGAAUUCAGUGAAUCAUCGAAUCUUUGAACGCACAUUGCGCCCGCCAGUAUUCUGGCGGGCAUGCCUGUUCGAGCGUCAUUACAACCCUCAGGCCCCCGGGCCUGGCGUUGGGGAUCGGCGGAGCCCCCCGUGGGCACACGCCGUCCCCCAAAUGCAGUGGCGGUCCCGCCGCAGCUUCCAUCGCGUAGUAGCUAACACCUCGCGACUGGAGAGCGGCGCGGCAACGCCGUAAAACACCCAACUCUUCUGAAGUUGACCUCGAAUCAGGUAGGAAUACCCGCUGAACUUAAGCAUAUCAAUAAGCGGAGGA